UAAUCGAACUCCCCAACGUGCAAGCCUAC
rnacentral:piRNA from 1 species